GUUGUAUAGUCAAGUAAUUAAGUGCAUGUGGUGGAUGCCUUGGCAGUCAGAGGCGAUGAAAGACGUGAUAGCCUGCGAAAAGCUCCGGGGAGGCGGCAAAUAUCCUUUGAUCCGGAGAUGUCUGAAUGGGGGAACCCACCUACUUUAAGGUAGGUAUUGCAACAUGAAUACAUAGUGUUGCAAGGCGAACGAGGGGAAGUGAAACAUCUCAGUACCCUUAGGAAAAGAAAUCAAUUGAGAUUCCCUCAGUAGCGGCGAGCGAACGGGGAUCAGCCCAUUAAGUUAUGUGUGUUUUAGUGGAACGCUCUGGGAAGUGCGAACGUAGAGGGUGAUAUUCCCGUACACGAAAGGGCACACAUAAUGAUGACGAGUAGGGCGAGGCACGUGAAACCUUGUCUGAAUAUGGGGGGACCAUCCUCCAAGGCUAAAUACUCCUGACUGACCGAUAGUGAACCAGUACCGUGAGGGAAAGGCGAAAAGAACCCCUGUGAGGGGAGUGAAAUAGAUCCUGAAACCGCAUGCAUACAAGCAGUGGGAGCACCUUCGUGGUGUGACUGCGUACCUUUUGUAUAAUGGGUCAGCGACUUAUAUUCAGUAGCAAGGUUAACCGUAUAGGGGAGCCGUAGAGAAAUCGAGUCUUAAUAGGGCGUUUAGUUGCUGGGUAUAGACCCGAAACCAGGCGAUCUAUCCAUGAGCAGGUUGAAGGUUGGGUAACACUAACUGGAGGACCGAACCCACUGUCGUUGAAAAGCCAGGGGAUGACUUGUGGAUAGGGGUGAAAGGCUAAUCAAGCCUGGUGAUAGCUGGUUCUCCCCGAAAGCUAUUUAGGUAGCGCCUCGGACGAAUACCAUAGGGGGUAGAGCACUGUUUCGGCUAGGGGGUCAUCCCGACUUACCAAACCGAUGCAAACUCCGAAUACCUAUGAGUACUAUCCGGGAGACAGACUGCGGGUGCUAACGUCCGUAGUCAAGAGGAAAACAAUCCAGACCGCCAGCUAAGGCCCCAAAAUCAUAGUUAAGUGGGAAACGAUGUGGGAAGGCAUAGACAGCUAGGAGGUUGGCUUAGAAGCAGCCACCCUUUAAAGAAAGCGUAAUAGCUCACUAGUCGAGUCGGCCUGCGCGGAAGAUGUAACGGGGCUAAAACUAUGUGCCGAAGCUGCGGAUNNNNNNNNNNNNNNNNNNNNNNNNNNNNNNNNNNNNNNNUUGACAUUAGUCAAGUGGUAGGGGAGCGUUCUGUAAGCCGAUGAAGGUGUAUUGAGAAGUAUGCUGGAGGUAUCAGAAGUGCGAAUGCUGACGUGAGUAACGACAAAACGGGUGAAAAACCCGUUCGCCGAAAGACCAAGGGUUCCAGUCCAACGUUAA
rnacentral:rRNA from 1 species